rnacentral:rRNA from 1 species
UGGGGAAUAUUGGGCAAUGGGCGCAAGCCUGACCCAGCAACGCCGCGUGAAGGAAGAAGGCCCUCGGGUUGUAAACUUCUUUUAUCAGGGACGAAGAAGAUGACGGUACCUGAUGAAUAAGCCACGGCUAACUACGUGCCAGCAGCCGCGGUAAUACGUAGGUGGCAAGCGUUAUCCGGAUUUACUGGGUGUAAAGGGCGUGUAGGCGGGACUGCAAGUCAGAUGUGAAAACCAUGGGCUCAACCCAUGGCCUGCAUUUGAAACUGUAGUUCUUGAGUGUUGGAGAGGCAGGCGGAAUUCCGUGUGUAGCGGUGAAAUGCGUAGAUAUACGGAGGAACACCAGUGGCGAAGGCGGCCUGCUGGACAAUAACUGACGCUGAGGCGCGAAAGCGUGGGGAGCAAACAGG